rnacentral:rRNA from 1 species
AUUGAACGCUGGCGGCAUGCCUUACACAUGCAAGUCGAACGGCAGCACGGGAGCAAUCCUGGUGGCGAGUGGCGAACGGGUGAGUAAAGUAUCGGAACGUGCCCAGGCGUGGGGGAUAACGUAGCGAAAGUUACGCUAAUACCGCAUACGAUCUAUGGAUGAAAGCGGGGGAUCGCAAGACCUCGCGCGAUUGGCGCGGCCGAUAUCAGAUUAGGUAGUUGGUGGGGUAAAGGCUCACCAAGCCGACGAUCUGUAGCUGGUCUGAGAGGACGACCAGCCACACUGGGACUGAGACACGGCCCAGACUCCUACAGGAGGCAGCAGUGGGGAAUUUUUGGACAAUGGGCGAAAGCCUGAUCCAGCAAUGCCGCGUGCAGGAAGAAGGCCUUCGGGUUGUAAACUGCUUUUGUACGGAGCGAAAAGGCUCUCUCUAAUACAGGGGGCUCAUGACGGUACCGUAAGAAUAAGCACCGGCUAACUACGUGCCAGCAGCCGCCGUAA